GGUAGGCCUGCUUAAGCUAGUGGUGAUCAACGUGCGACAUUUACUGGGGUUCCCCUGUUUUUACGCCUUUCUGGACGGAUCCUUCCCUCUGUUCCCUGCACUGUUGACCGUCCUUGCUGGAGCCGGAGCUCCGAAGGUGAUCGGCCCUUUCCUGCAUCUUCAAAUUUACCAUUGAAACAUUGGAGCUUGGACACAUCAGGCAAACCGUCUUUAUGGGAUGCUUCUGGGUCAGGCCUGUUCUACCCCCAGCAGGUGAAGGCUCAGAUCCAUCAGGAUAAUUGGGUGCCUGACUUCUGUAUUGAGUCCAAGAAGCUUGGGACCUAUAUGCGUCAGUGGACAUCAGUUACAGUAAUUUCCACUUUUCAAAAGUGAACUUUUCAAAAGGGGACUUUGACUUAUUUUGGAAGACCA